rnacentral:lncRNA from 1 species
GGCCGAGAAAAAAAAGAUCCGUGUUUCCGGUAACCCGACCGACCCUGUUUUUUUAGCCCCGACCCUAACUUUUUUAUUGGAUCUUCCAAAAAAAAAAAAAAAAAAUUUAUCAACCGACCCUGUUUUUGACACAGGCUUCUGAUAGAUGGCAUAAUAUUUUUUCUCUCUUGCUUCCUCUUGCAUAGAAAGCCAGUAAAACAUUUUAUUAAUGUCAAAAGGUAUUCCAAAUAGGUUAAAAUCCAAGAAUUUGAAAUUUUGCUUUGCACAGCAGGUGCUUCAAAAACAUUGCAAAUGGCACACUUCCGGUUUUUGAAACUAAUUACAGAUCCGGACUUGGAAAAAACAUGAUAAUUUUCCGGAUUUCAUUUACGAUGUCAAAAAAAAAAAAAAAAAAAAAAAAAAAAAAAAAAAAGAAUUCCGACCUACCGACCCUAUUUUUCAAAAUGAUGUUACCGGAAACACAUAUCUUUUUUUUUUAGGCCUAGCGGAA